rnacentral:pre_miRNA from 1 species
AGUGGAAUUGCUGGGUCACAUGGUCUACGAUUAACAUUUUGAGAAACUGGCAAAUUAUUUUCCAAAGUUUCUGUACCAUUUUACACUCCACUAGCAGU